GUGGACGUGGUGCACGGUGCACUCCUUUCUUUCAUGUUGCCCAAGAAGAGCGUUGAAGGCUAUCGGGGUUCGACUCCCCGCGUCCGCA